CCCAAGCGGACAGCUCUGUAGAGCAAUGCGAGCGUACACCGCGCGGCCAACCUGAACUGUCAGCUGUAGCAGGAGUCCUCUGCCGUGUACCAACCAGCUCGACAGAGACACCCGGAAGGCACGAAAGUCAAUUUCAGAGAGCAGCAUGAAUCGCUUUAAGACCUCCAAAUUCAAAAACACCACUCCGAAAAUUGCCAAGAAAGAUGGAUGGAUCAACAACGUCCGAGCUGGUUCUUUCUCCUGCCAGGGGAACCACAUCAAAGCGAGCGCCAAGCUGGUGGCCUUUAAUACCGAGCAGGCUGGUGGAGGUAUGUUGGGGUUGUCCUCAGUCAAACCUGGAUCAGAUGGCGGAUGGACGGUCACUCAGAUUUCUUGCCAUUCUGAUCUGGUGACUGAUAUGGACUUUUCUCCUUUUGAUGAAUGUCUCCUGGCAACAUGCUCUGGAGAUGAAACGGUGAAGCUUUGGCGUUUGUGUGAUCCAGAGUUGCAGCAGCCCAGCGCUCCAGAGCUGACCCUUUGUCCAGGUCAGGGCAGGCUGGAGCUGGUGCUUUUCCACCCCACCUCCUCUGGCCUGCUGGCUGUCGGUAACGCCAAGUCCCCCCUGAUAUGGGACACCAGCCGCCAGGAUACACCCCUAGCAGUUCUGGAGCAGCAUGGUGACCAGCUGCAGAGUAUGUGCUGGAAACAGGACGGUUCCCUACUGGCUUCCUCUUGCAAGGACAAGAUGCUGCGAGUGUUUGACCCCAGAGCCCAGCUGACACCUGUUCAGAGUGCAAAGAGCCUUCAGAACAACAAGGAUUCUCGCAUCCUGUGGGCCAAAGACGACCUUUUACUCACCACCGGCUUUGAUAUGAUGCGUAGUCGAGAGGUGAGGCUUUGGGACAGCAGGAAGCUGAGCUCUUCUGUCAGCUCGGCGUCACUCGGCACCUCCAGCGGAAUGGUGAUCCCUCUGUUUGACGAUGACACUGGACUGCUCAUACUGGCUGGCAUGGGCGACACUGUGGUUGAUUGUUUUGAAGUGUCUGCCUCGGAGCCUUUCCUCUCACAAGUCAGCCACUGUCUGACUGACACCUCAACACGAGGAGUUGCCAUGGUACCGAAGGUGGCGUUGGAUGUUAUGUCCUGCGAAGUGAUGCGUGUCCUUCAGCUGACGGACAGCUGCAUUGUGCCAAUCAGCUAUCAAGUCCCUCGCAAGCAUUCAGGUCAGGAGUUUCAUGAUGAUAUUUACCCAAACACAGUGGGCACAACUCCAGCCAUGUCUGCUGAGGAGUGGUGGAAGGGAGGGAACAAGCAGGUGGAGAAAGUCAGCCUCCACCCAGACAAACAGCCCAAACAGAAGGCUCCACCAGCAAAACAGAUGCCUGCAAAGAAGGAGCUGGCCAGUGGGGGGAGCAAGGAGGAUCCGACACGUGGCUGCUCCACCUCCAGUAGUCCACUGAGCAGUCCCAGCAGCAGCGCAGUCCCGUCCCGCUCUCCCUCCUCCACCUCCGGUCUCUCCUCGGGCUUCCUCCACAGCCCCAGUCCCAGCCAGAGCGCCAAGGCCAUCCAGAGCAUGAUGGGGCCGACUUCCAAGUUCCGUCAUAUCCAGGGUGCAGUAAUGCACCGGGAUACACACAUCACCAACUUGCGUGGCCUCAACCUGACUACACCGGGUGAAUGUGACGGCUUCUGUGUCAACCGCCAACGCGUGGCAGUGCCCCUCGCCAUAUCCGGGGGCCAGAUCGGCAUCUUUGAGCGUUCCCAGCCUGGCAGGCUACCUGAAACAGCCCUGUCCACCAUCCAAAACUCUGUCAAUGUGGUUGACUUAUCUUGGGACCCCUUUGACACACACCGGCUUGCUGUUGCUGGUGAUGAUGCAAAGAUCCGGGUGUGGCAGGUACCGGAGGGGGGGCUGAAAGAGACCCUGACUGAGCCUGAGGUCAUCUUGCAAGGCCAUACAGAGAAGAUUUACUCCAUAAAGUUCCACCCUCUGGCCAGCGGACUCCUGGUGUCUUCAUCCUACGAUCUCACAGUCAGACUGUGGAACCUGGAGAGCGGAGAACAGGUCAAACUUCUCAGUGGACACCAGGAACAGGUCUUUGGCAUGGCAUGGAGCCCAGAUGGCAAGCUCCUGGCCACAGUGUGUAAAGAUGGGAAAGUUCGUAUCUAUGACCCCCGCAAGUCCACUGCACCGGUGCAGGAGGGCCCAGGUCCUGAGGGCCAGAGGGGAGCUCGUGUGGUGUGGGUGUGUGAGGGCAAGUACCUGUUGGUGUCAGGAUUUGACAGUCGCAGUGAGAGAGUACUCUACCUGUACUCUGCUGACUCCCUGUCCUCUGGAGCCGUAGCCAGCACCUCUAUAGACAUCUCCCCCUCUACGCUCAUCCCUUUCUACGACCCCGACACCAGUGUGGUCAUCCUCACUGCAAAAGGUGAUACCAGAGUGCACAUUUAUGAGAUGUUUCCUGAAGAGCCAUACUUUAUUGAGUGCAGCAGUUUUAACUCUCCUGAGCCACACAAGGGCUUGGCCUUUCUGCCCAAGACCGAGUGCAAUGUGCGUGAUGUGGAAAUAGCUGUUGGACUGUUGCUCACCAAGACAACCAUUGAGCCAGUGGCCUUCAGAGUGCCACGAGUCAAGAAAGAGUUUUUCCAGGACGAUGUGUACACAGACACCGCCGUCUGUUGGGAACCGGCACUGACUGCCUCUGCCUGGCUGUCAGGCUCCAACGGCCAACACAAAAAGAUCAGCCUAAAGCCUAAAGACAUGAUCCCAGUGAGUGAGGCCCCUAAAGAGGCUCCAGUUAGAAAAUACCUGCCGUCCUCUGUUUACCUGGAAGAGAAGACUGAUGAACAGAAGAAAGAGGAGCUUCUCAGUGCCAUGGUGGCUAAGUUGGGGAACAUGGACGAUCCGCUGCCACAAGCGUCCUUUGAGGGUGUGGACGAGGAUGAGUGGGAUGACUAAAGGGGACGCCAUCUUGCCUUUGGUUCAAUCAUGGUGCCAACAGCAAAGAGGAGAGAACAGAUCUACUGUCAAGUUACGUUGCCAUUUGUGUGUGUUGGUGCCACCCACAUGUCCUCUGAGCUUAAUCAGCUCACAUCUCAGCACAAAGAGUAUUGUACAAUGUGAAAAUAUAAACAAAAUGGGGAAAAAAAUCAUCACAAUCCAACUGCAUGAAAUUUGAUAUGAAAGUCAUUUUCAGCAGCAAUUCUUAAAUAUUUCAGAAAUCCUCUGGGAUAACUCUGACACAGUAAUUUCUUAUGUUAAAGUCAUAACAACAUUAUGUCACACUAUUCAGGAUACAUAACAGUAAAUUUCAGAAAAAAAGUCCAUUUAAAUCAUACAUCAGGAACCUCAAACAUUUCUGGGACAUCACCCUUCUAAAUCAGUGCAAGGUGAAUUAAACAGCAGGUAAUCAUAGCAAUAAUACUUCUGCUUUAUGUUACAUGAUCAGUUAUAACAGAUCUAACACAGCAUUUUUAGUGGAUGGGUAAUUUAGCGCAGCUUUUAUUUUUGUCUUUGGUAUUUGACCAUGGUUUGAGCAUAAUAAAACGCUCUUAGGUGUCCUGUCCAUGUGUCCUUAAAAAAAAAAAAAUAAUUAUAAUAAUAAUGGCCUCCUCUUAUGCCCUGUUUGUUAUUUUCUGAUAUCAAGAUACCAGGGUGUGUACCAUUGCGUACAACAAUUUUUUUCUGUGUGUGCACUUUUACCUCAGCUGUGGACCACCGCUUGCUUUUUCUACUGGCCAGUCAUAUGAUCACGCUCAGCCACAAUUUUUUGUUGGAUAGAUGUAAUGUUGUUAAUUAUCUCAUUGAAAAAGUGAACAUUGUGAAUCUGAAAAAAAAACAAAAAAAACUUGUCUUCCUGUUUGAUCAGGUAAAACACACACAUGAUCACUGUAACAUGUUCGAGCCUUCAGCAGCAAAAAACACACUGUGGAUACAACAGGGUCACCAGUGUUCAUGUUUAACCAUGAACUGGAAUUUCUUAUGACAACAACAUUAAAUUCACUUUGUCUUUGUUAGUCAAUGAUAGAAUAAAAGGCCAUUUUAACAAUAUUGCGUUACUGUAUUUGUACAAGUUAAAUUUGAUUGAAUGUUUUUCUAUCUGAUAGUCUUAUAAGUAGGGGUUGAAGCUCAAUUAAAUUGGGAUGUUGUGUAUGUAAAGCCAAACAACCUCCCAAUUGGAGUUUUUAGAGGGGUCUUUGUAUACUCUUCUUUCCUUUCUUUUCUAUUUUGCAGGGCAACUUUUAAUUGUGAUCUUUGUAGGUUUUCAGACUGUUUGGAGAUGUUGCUCAGAUAAUUUUCUUAUCUAAUGUCUACUAGUAGUAAGUAGUCAUGGUGUUAAUAAGACAAUAACAGUACAGUAUUAAUAUCUUACAGUGCAGCCAAAACAUGUAUUAUGUAAUUUACAAGCAGGGCUACAGCAAUAUUGUCAAUAAUCCAGGCUUGAACCCACCAUUUGUUAACAACCUCUGAUGGACUGAAAGGAACCAGCUAUUCAGCCGUGCAUGGUUGUGCACGUCAUGUUGUACAGGUAAACUGCAGGUGUCAUUGGUGUUGGUGUGAUGUACGCUGUAUAUGUUGGUGAUUCUCGAAUGCCAUAACUACUAAUAGUUGUAAUGAAUUAAGUUGCCUUCUAUACAGUGAGUAAAGCAUUGUUGUUUUUUGUUUGUCGUACUUGAGAAAUAGUUUAAUUCUUUUUCAAUAUUGUCUUGCAAUAAACCUUUUUGAACCCAU